rnacentral:lncRNA from 1 species
GUCGGAGACAAGUAGGGCAAGGGGUGCGCGGGCGAGGGUGGGGGUGAGGGCGUGAGGUGCAGAGACGAUGGGGGUUGUUUCCGCCUUCGCCUCCGUCACCUUCUUCGGCAAGAAAAAAAAGAACGCGAGAAAAAAAAGGAGAGAGAAAAAGGUAUAAGGGUAUUUUGAUCAGUUUACUAAAAAUCCGGCCCGAAUUUGCAAAAUCGA